AUUGAACGCUGGCGGCAUGCCUUACACAUGCAAGUCGAACGGCAGCAUGGAGAGCUUGCUCUCUGAUGGCGAGUGGCGAACGGGUGAGUAAUGCAUCGGAACGUACCGUGUAAUGGGGGAUAACGUAGCGAAAGUUACGCUAAUACCGCAUACGACCUGCGGGUGAAAGCAGGGGCUCGCAAGACCUUGCGUUAUACGAGCGGCCGAUGUCAGAUUAGCUAGUUGGUGGGGUAAAGGCUCACCAAGGCGACGAUCAGUAGCGGGUCUGAGGGGAUGAUCCGGCAGACUGGGACUGAGAAACGGCCCAGACUCCUACGGGAGUCAGCAGUGGGGAAUUUUGGAGAAUGGGGGCAAGCCUGAUCCAGCCAGGCCGCGUGAGUGAAGAAGGCCUUCGGGUUGUAAAGCGCUUUCGGCCGGGAAGAAAUCGCACAGGCUAAUACUCUGUGUGGAUGACGGUGCCGGCAUAAGAAGCACCGGCUAACUACGUGCCAGCCGCCGCCGUAA
rnacentral:rRNA from 1 species